CUGUGAGGCAUGCUGGAGGUAUCAGAAGUGCGAAUGCUGACAUAAGUAACGAUAAAGCGGGUGAAAAGCCCGCUCGCCGGAAGACCAAGGGUUCCUGUCCAACGUUAAUCGGGGCAGGGUGAGUCGACCCCUAAGGCGAGGCCGAAAGGCGUAGUCGAUGGGAAACAGGUUAAUAUUCCUGUACUUGGUGUUACUGCGAAGGGGGGACGGAGAAGGCUAUGUUGGCCGGGCGACGGUUGUCCCGGUUUAAGCGUGUAGGCUGGUUUUCCAGGCAAAUCCGGAAAAUCAAGGCUGAGGCGUGAUGACGAGGCACUACGGUGCUGAAGCAACAAAUGCCCUGCUUCCAGGAAAAGCCUCUAAGCAUCAGGUAACAUCAAAUCGUACCCCAAACCGACACAGGUGGUCAGGUAGAGAAUACCAAGGCGCUUGAGAGAACUCGGGUGAAGGAACUAGGCAAAAUGGUGCCGUAACUUCGGGAGAAGGCACGCUGAUAUGUAGGUGAAGUCCCUCGCGGAUGGAGCUGAAAUCAGUCGAAGAUACCAGCUGGCUGCAACUGUUUAUUAAAAACACAGCACUGUGCAAACACGAAAGUGGACGUAUACGGUGUGACGCCUGCCCGGUGCCGGAAGGUUAAUUGAUGGGGUCAGCGCAAGCGAAGCUCUUGAUCGAAGCCCCGGUAAACGGCGGCCGUAACUAUAACGGUCCUAAGGUAGCGAAAUUCCUUGUCGGGUAAGUUCCGACCUGCACGAAUGGCGUAAUGAUGGCCAGGCUGUCUCCACCCGAGACUCAGUGAAAUUGAACUCGCUGUGAAGAUGCAGUGUACCCGCGGCAAGACGGAAAGACCCCGUGAACCUUUACUAUAGCUUGACACUGAACAUUGAGCCUUGAUGUGUAGGAUAGGUGGGAGGCUUUGAAGUGUGGACGCCAGUCUGCAUGGAGCCGACCUUGAAAUACCACCCUUUAAUGUUUGAUGUUCUAACGUGGACCCGUGAUCCGGGUUGCGGACAGUGUCUGGUGGGUAGUUUGACUGGGGCGGUCUCCUCCUAAAGAGUAACGGAGGAGCACGAAGGUUGGCUAAUCCUGGUCGGACAUCAGGAGGUUAGUGCAAUGGCAUAAGCCAGCUUGACUGCGAGCGUGACGGCGCGAGCAGGUGCGAAAGCAGGUCAUAGUGAUCCGGUGGUUCUGAAUGGAAGGGCCAUCGCUCAACGGAUAAAAGGUACUCCGGGGAUAACAGGCUGAUACCGCCCAAGAGUUCAUAUCGACGGCGGUGUUUGGCACCUCGAUGUCGGCUCAUCACAUCCUGGGGCUGAAGUAGGUCCCAAGGGUAUGGCUGUUCGCCAUUUAAAGUGGUACGCGAGCUGGGUUUAGAACGUCGUGAGACAGUUCGGUCCCUAUCUGCCGUGGGCGCUGGAGAACUGAGGGGGGCUGCUCCUAGUACGAGAGGACCGGAGUGGACGCAUCACUGGUGUUCGGGUUGUCAUGCCAAUGGCACUGCCCGGUAGCUAAAUGCGGAAGAGAUAAGUGCUGAAAGCAUCUAAGCACGAAACUUG
rnacentral:rRNA from 1 species